GCCUAAAGCCCUUUAAUACA
rnacentral:tRNA from 1 species